rnacentral:rRNA from 1 species
AAGACCUUGCACUUUUGGAGCGGCCGAUGUCUGAUUAGCUAGUUGGUGGGGUAAUGGCCUACCAAAGCUUCGAUCAGUAGCUGGUCUGAGAGGACGUCCAGCCACACUGGGACUGAGACACGGCCCAGACUCCUACGGGAGGCAGCAGUGGGGAAUUUUGGACAAUGGGCGCAAGCCUGAUCCAGCCAUGCCGCGUGAGUGAAGAAGGCCUUCGGGUUGUAAAGCUCUUUCAGCCGGGAAGAAAAGGUUGCGACUAAUAAUCGCAAUUCAUGACGGUACCGAAAGAAGAAGCACCGGCUAACUACGUGCCAGCAGCCGCGGUAAUACGUAGGGUGCGAGCGUUAAUCGGAAUUACUGGGCGUAAAGGGUGCGCAGGCGGUUUUGUAAGUCAGAUGUGAAAUCCCCGGGCUUAACCUGGGAACU